GAUGAACGCUGGCGGCGUGCCUAAUACAUGCAAGUCGAGCGAACAGACGAGGAGCUUGCUCCUCUGACGUUAGCGGUGGACGGGUGAGUAACACGUGGAUAACCUACCUAUAAGACUGGGAUAACUUCGGGAAACCGGAGCUAAUACCGGAUAAUAUAUUGAACCGCAUGGUUCAAUAGUGAAAGACGGUUUUGCUGUCACUUAUAGAUGGAUCCGCGCCGCAUUAGCUAGUUGGUAAGGUAACGGCUUACCAAGGCAACGAUGCGUAGCCGACCUGAGAGGGUGAUCGGCCACACUGGAACUGAGACACGGUCCAGACUCCUACGGGAGGCAGCAGUAGGGAAUCUUCCGCAAUGGGCGAAAGCCUGACGGAGCAACGCCGCGUGAGUGAUGAAGGUCUUCGGAUCGUAAAACUCUGUUAUUAGGGAAGAACAAAUGUGUAAGUAACUAUGCACGUCUUGACGGUACCUAAUCAGAAAGCCACGGCUAACUACGUG
rnacentral:rRNA from 1 species